rnacentral:rRNA from 1 species
UACGUAGGGUGCAAGCGUUGUCCGGAAUUAUUGGGCGUAAAGAGCUCGUAGGCGGUUUGUUGCGUCGGCUGUGAAAUCCCGAGGCUCAACCUCGGGUCUGCAGUCGAUACGAGCAAACUAGAGUGUUGCAGGGGAGACUGGAAUUCCUGGUGUAGCGGUGAAAUGCGCAGAUAUCAGGAGGAACACCGGUGGGCGAAGGCGGGGUCUCUGGGCAACAACUGACGUGGAGGAGCGAAA